CUGCAUGGCGUGUCGUCAGCUCGUGUCGUGAGAUGUUGGGUUAAGUCCCGCAACGAGCGCAACCCUGCAUUCAGUUGCCAUCGGGUAGUGCCGGGCACUCUGGAAGGACUGCCAUCGACAAGGAUGGAGGAAGGUGGGGGAUGACGUCAAGUCAUCAUGGCCCUUAUGUCCAGGGCGACACACGUGCUACAAUGGCCGGCACAACGGGAAGCGAGUUCGCGAGGACAAGCGGAUCCCUUAAAGCCGGUCGCAGUUCGGAUUGAAGUCUGCAACUCGACUUCAUGAAGCUGGAAUCGCUAGUAAUCGUGGAUCAGCCAAGCCGCGGUGAAUACGUUCCCGGGCCUU
rnacentral:rRNA from 1 species